ACAGGUUUCCGUAGGUGAACCUGCGGAAGGAUCAUUAUCGUAUUACAAGAGGCGUUCGGGGCUGUCGCUGACCCUUCAAGGUCGUGCACGCCUCGAGCGUUCAUCCAUCUCACCCUUUGUGCAUCACCGCGUGGGACCCCCUAAAAGGUGGCCUACGUUUUUCACAAACCUUGUUGUAUUGAAUGUCUUUACUUUUUGCGGUCAUAUGCAAUCAAUACAACUUUCAACAACGGAUCUCUUGGCUCUCGCAUCGAUGAAGAACGCAGCGAAAUGCGAUACGUAAUGUGAAUWGCAGAAUUCAGUGAAUCAUCGAAUCUUUGAACGCACCUUGCACCCCUUGGCAUUCCGAGGGGUACACCCGUUUGAGUGUCGUGAAAUYCUCAACCUCCCCAAAUUUAUUGGGGGAAGGCUUGGACUUUGGAGGCUUUUGCUGGUCUCUCUUUUGAAGCCAGCUCCUCUUAAACAUAUUAGUGGGAUCCCUCUUCGCCGGUCCCUCGACGUGAUAAGAUUUCUCUACGUCUGAGGUUUGGCUUUGUCGGCUCGCUUCUAACCGUCUCUCUCGGAGACACGUUUUGAACGCUUUGACCUCAAAUCGGGUGAGACUACCCGCUGAACUUAAGCAUAUCAAUAAGCGGA
rnacentral:sRNA from 1 species